UUUCAUAUAGUUUAUUAAAACAUUUUAUUUUCAAUAAAAAAAUAGUAUAUUAUACUUAAGAAAAUA
rnacentral:tRNA from 1 species